rnacentral:rRNA from 1 species
AGUGAACGCUGGCGGUAGGCCUAACACAUGCAAGUCGAACGGCAGCACAGUAAGAGCCUGCUCUUACGGGUGGCGAGUGGCGGACGGGUGAGGAAUACAUCGGAAUCUACUUUUUCGUGGGGGAUAACGUAGGGAAACUUACGCUAAUACCGCAUACGACCUACGGGUGAAAGCAGGGGAUCUUCGGACCUUGCGCGAUUGAAUGAGCCGAUGUCGGAUUAGCUAGUUGGCGGGGUAAAGGCCCACCAAGGCGACGAUCCGUAGCUGGUCUGAGAGGAUGAUCAGCCACACUGGGACUGAGACACGGUCCAGACUCCUACGGGAGGCAGCAGUGGGGAAUAUUGGACAAUGGGCGCAAGCCUGAUCCAGCCAUACCGCGUGGGUGAAGAAGGCCUUCGGGUUGUAAGGCCCUUUUGUUGGGAAAGAAAAGCAGCAGGUUAAUACCCCGCUGUUCUGACGGUACCCAAAGAAUAAGCACCGGCUAACUUCGUG